rnacentral:rRNA from 1 species
GACGUAGGGCGCGAGCGUUGUCCGGAUUUAUUGGGCGUAAAGAGCUCGUAGGCGGCUUGUCGCGUCGACUGUGAAAACCCGCGGCUCAACCUCGGGUCUGCAGUGGGUACGGGCAGACUGGAGUGCGGUAGGGGAGAAUGGAAUUCCUGGUGUAGCGGUGGAAUGCGCAGAUAUCAGGAGGAACACCGAUGGCGAAGGCAGUUCUCUGGGCCGUAACUGACGCUGAGGAGCGAAAGCGUGGGGAGCGAACAGG